rnacentral:tRNA from 1 species
AAGAUUUUAAGUUAAAUAAACUUAAAACCUUCAAAGUUUUAAAUAAAUAUAUAUAAUUCUUA